AAAUAAGUUGUGAUUAGAAAAAGUAGUUGAACACCAAUGUGAAGAGAGCUUGGGCCGAUGGAAUCCAGGUGAUUGGGACAACGAAACACCUCUAUGAACUGAUCAGCUGAAUUAAGUAAGCUGCUCCGCAUGUUUAGCGUUAUCAGGGUUACCUUAACUGUUCUUGAAGUCUCUUCAACGACUAGUUAUUGGCAACGUAAGGCCGUCAUCGUGAGGUGGCGACAAAUUGAGGUGGAACCGCGAUUUAAAUCGUCCUCGUA
rnacentral:ncRNA from 1 species